UCUUGGUCAUUUAGAGGAAGUAAAAGUCGUAACAAGGUUUCCGUAGGUGAACCUGCGGAAGGAUCAUUAUUGAAUGAAUGUAGAGUCGGUUGUAGCUGGCCUUUAAUUGGGCAUGUGCACGCCUUCUCUUUCAUCCACACACACCUGUGCACCUGUGAGACGGGAGUCUUGUUUUUUUUUCUCUUGCAAGAGAGAGAGAGAAGAGAGGUUUCCGUCUGCCAACACACAAACUCAUAUAUUGUAAUCUGAAUGUAAAUUGAUGUAACGCAUCUAUGAACUAAGUUUCAACAACGGAUCUCUUGGCUCUCGCAUCGAUGAAGAACGCAGCGAAAUGCGAUAAGUAAUGUGAAUUGCAGAAUUCAGUGAAUCAUCGAAUCUUUGAACGCACCUUGCGCUCCUUGGUAUUCCUUGGAGCAUGCCUGUUUGAGUAUCAUGAAAUUAUCAAAACAAGUCUUUUGUUCAUUCAACUGGCUCUUUGUUUUGGACUUGGAGGUCUUGCAGAUUCACGUCUGCUCCUCUUGAAUGCAUUAGCUGGAUCUCAGUGAGCUCGGUUCCACUCGGCGUGAUAAGUAUCACUCGCUGAGGACACCCUCUAAAAAAAGGUGGCCGGGGUUGCAGAUGAACCGCUUCCAAUAGUCUGUUAGCUCAGACAGCUUUACUUUAUGAUCUGAUCUCAAAUCAGGUAGGACUACCCGCUGAACUUAAGCAUAUCAAUAAGCGGAGGAAAU
rnacentral:rRNA from 1 species